rnacentral:rRNA from 1 species
AUGGAUCCGGGUGGGAUGCUGCUGGAGGACUUCGGGCUGUGGGUGGACCUGGUGCGGCGCAUCCGCGAGGUGCUGGCCAACUACCCGGAGGGCACCACCGCGCUGCGGGACGCCGGGAGCUCAUCCAGAACGCCGACGAUGCCGGGGCCUCGUGCGUCCGCCUCUGCCUCGACCGCCGCGCCCAUGGGUCCCGCUCGCUGCUCGCCCCCGCGCUUGCACAGUGUACGCCAGCAACGACGCCGCCUUCACCGACGAAGAGUUCGCCAGCAUCCCCCGCAUCGGCGGCCGCAAGAAGUCCUCCCAGGCCUGGAAGACCGGCAGCAAGAUGGGCGCUAG